AAAGUUAUUAAAAUGACUUUGGUUAGUGACAAUAAGUGACGUGGUUAUACUUGGUGUAAGGUUUUACAAUUUAAUAGUGUUUAAAAACUCUUUCGAUUGUAAAAAGUUUUGCGAACUGGCAACUGACAAGUGACGUCAGACGGAACGCGGGUUUCUUUAAAAAAGAAGAAAAACAAAAGAGGGGAAAAAAAAGAGGGGACUUGGCUGGUCGGGGUUGGCAUUUUGAGGGAGCGAUAUUAAUGGUGGUAAUUUUGUGUUUGAGUUAGAUAAUAAUAUGAAUUUGUGAAACUUGCGAAUAAAAGCUAAUUUUAAACUGAA